rnacentral:rRNA from 1 species
AACGAACGCUGGCGGCAGGCUUAACACAUGCAAGUCGAACGCACCUUUCGGGGUGAGUGGCAGACGGGUGAGUAACGCGUGGGAAUCUACCCUUCUCUACGGGAUAGCUCCGGGAAACUGGAAUUAAUACCGUAUAUGACCUGAGGGAGAAAGAUUUAUCGGGGAAGGAUGAGCCCGCGUUUGAUUAGCUAGUUGGGGGGGUAAAGGCCUACCAAGGCGACGAUCCAUAGCUGGUCUAAGAGGAUGAUCAGCCACAUUGGGACUGAGACACGGCCCAAACUCCUACGGGAGGCAGCAGUGGGGAAUAUUGGACAAUGGGCGCAAGCCUGAUCCAGCCAUGCCGCGUGAGUGAUGAAGGCCCUAGGGUUGUAAAGCUCUUUCAGUGGGGAAGAUAAUGACGGUACCCACAGAAGAAGCCCCGGCUAACUUCGUG